rnacentral:rRNA from 1 species
GAGUUGUUGCCCGCCCUUCGAAAAAAGUUUUUUCUUUAAAAAGAUCUUUUUUCAGCUGUAUUGUGAAAGAGUGUUAUUGGUUAUUUGUUUUGAAAAAGAAGGGAUGUUUUGUAGUGGAUGAGGUUUGUUCUCUUACUUUUUGUAUCAUGGCGUGUAGAGGGUUUUAGUUUUAUUCUAGCUCCUGAAAGCCUUAGAGCCACCCCGCUUAAUGUGUGUGUUGUUGAAUUACUGUUUCUAAGGGCGGGGUAGUUGUGACAUGUUUGUCGAAAAGGUUGAUAGCUGGUUUGGGGGGAAACAUAUGUGAGUAUGGGUGUUCAUUAAAGCCGUGGGUGGUAUUUAUUAAAUUAGCCAUUGGCCCGUGGGUAGCCAGCCUUCCAGGGUUAAUCUUGGUAGGAAUAGGUGUUAGUUCUAUUAGGUUAAAGAGUUUAGUAGAGUUAGAAUUUCUUAUCUUUUGGAUUUUUUUCUAAAUUAACUUUUUUUUUUUUUUUCAUUAAAGUACCCCCUCUCCUAUUAUAUAUUUUAUUUAGGGGAUUAGUAUGCGAUUAGUAUUUGAGAGAAGUGGUAUGUAGAGUGGUUUGGAGUCUUGAGAUAAAAUUGAUUAGUGUGAUGUUGGUUUCGAAAAAAGAAAGUUUGAGUGUUAAGUGUUAUGUGGUUUUGAGUGCGAGUAAUUGGUGAGAUUAAAUUGACAUUGAACUAUAUUGUGUAGCUGUGUUGUAGUAUUUAAAAGAAUUUAAUGUGGAAUAGUUUUAGAGAUUGUGUGUAAUUCUUGUCGUGUAUUAGUAUUUGAGAGAAGUGGUAUGUAGAGUGGUUUGGAGUCUUGAGAUAAAAUUGAUUAGUGUGAUGUUGGUUUCGAAAAAAGAAAGUUUGAGUGUUAAGUGUUAUGUGGUUGUAAGGAACUAGGCAAAUAUUAUCUCCGCCUGUUUAUUAAAAACAUGGCUUUUAGGGGGACUAGUAUUAAAAGUCGGGCCUGCCCGGUGGGUUGUUUAAACGGUUGCCAUUGGUGGUGGUACUAAGGUAGCGUAAUGAUUUGUCCUUUGAUUGGGGAACGGUAUGAAUGGUUUGACGUGAGGUGUGGUGUCUCACAGUUAGUGCUUGAAGUUUUCUUUUGGGUGAAAAGACUCAAGUUUUUUUAAAAGACGAGAAGACCCCGUCGAGCUUGUUAAGACUUCUGGCUUAUUGGAAGGAGUGUAUUUUUUGUUGGGGCAACAGGAAGAAAAAUUAACUCUUCUUAGUAGUUAUGGAUCCCCUUUUAGGGAAAAGAAGAAAAAGCUACCGCGGGGAUAACAGCGUAAUUUUCUUGAAGAGGACUUAUCAGAAAGAAAGGUUGCGACCUCGAUGUUGAAUUAGGGUGUAAUCCGGGCGCAGUAGCUUGGAUAGUAGGCCUGUUCGUCCUUUAAAACCUUACAUGAUUUGAGUUUAAAUCGGCGUGAGCUAGGUUGGUUUCUAUCUUUAUUUUUGUCUUUCUAUGUACGAAAGGACCAGGGAGUCGGUAGUUUUAUCUUUUUUAGUGUG